AUUCCUAAUAGUUCAUCCACCUAUCAAAUCUUAUUCUGUUAUUGUGGCCUCACCUAGAGCCCUUUGUUCUAGUGACUUCAACACUUCAAUGCUUGCUAAGCCUUCUGUUCUUGUCAAUCUUGUUGUCUUAACUAAGAGGCCAACCCUUUCGGGUGCUCCAAUUCAUACAAGAGUGUGAAGGAUACUAGCCUACAGUGACUGGAUAAGUCUUCUCUUCUCAUCGGUCUUGCUGUCUUAACUAAGAGGAUAUGCUGCUUGGGCGAUCUAGUUCAUUCAAAAGUUCUAAAAGAACUAGCCUACACUGCGUGGUUGUAGCUCCUACACUAAAAGCCUCACUGUCAGUGAUAAGUUGAAACAAGAUACAGUAUGCAAAAAAAGAUAGAACAUACAAGUCCCGAAGUUGUCUGAUUUGCUACAAUCUCAAUUAUAUUUAAACUUCACUUGUUGAAAGUUGAUAUCACUUGCUGAUACUCACUCCUUAGUGCCAUUCUGCUCUUCAAUUCGUUGGGUUGAUAUCUUGGAAAACAUCAAAAGCUAAUGGCAAUUGCAUCUGAAUGUGAAGUGUGGUGGUCAGUAGAGAAAUCAGUGCUGCAUACAUAUAAGACUCCAAUCUGGAAAAUAGGUGACCUCAUCUGCUUUGACAAUAGAAUGAGUUCUCGAAGACCUGACUUAGAUACUAAAGCCUCGUAUAUGCAGUAGUACGCACUCGGCCCAACAUUUCUCAAGCUGUCAGUGUCAACGUGGAACCUAGUCCUUAUAUGCAGGAUUACGAUAAAGGUCAUUGACAAGUUGUUAAAUGGAUCUUGAUAUGUAUUUUGGGAAUGCUGAUUUGGGUUUGAAGUUUGGGAGAUAUGAAUCUGUGGGAAGACACUUAGCUAGAUAUGUUGAUUCAGACUAUGUUGGAGAUCUAGAUAAUCUUUGUUUUACUACGAAGCUAGAGGUUGACCUCCGGUGAGUCGGAGGUCGAUACUGCAGUCAAAUAUUGCAUGGUCAACCAGUGAAGUUGAAUACAUGGCUAUGAUUGAAAGCUACCAAGGAGGU